GGAGGGGUGGCUGAGCGGACGAAAGCGACGGUCUUGAAAAUCGUUGUCCCGCAUUGCGGGACCGGGGGUUCGAAUCCCUCCCCCUCCGCCA
rnacentral:tRNA from 1 species